UUUCCGUAGGUGAACCUGCGGAAGGAUCAUUACUGAGUGAGGGCCCCUCGGGGUCCAACCUCCCACCCGUGUUUAACGAACCUUGUUGCUUCGGCGGGCCCGCCUCACGGCCGCCGGGGGGCAUCUGCCCCGGGCCCGCGCCCGCCGAAGCCACCUGUGAACGCUGUCUGAAGUAUGCAGUCUGAGACAAUUAUUAAAUUAAUUAAAACUUUCAACAACGGAUCUCUUGGUUCCG
rnacentral:misc_RNA from 1 species